rnacentral:rRNA from 3 species
AAAGGCGUAAUGAAAGUGAAGGUCCGCCUAGCGCGGGCCGAGGGAGGAUGGGUGUCCCAUAGGGACGCCCCGCACUCCCAGGGCGUCUCGUUCUCAUUGCGAGAAGAGGCGCACCAAGAGCGUACACGCUGGGACCCGAAAGAUGGUGAACUAUGCCUGGUCAGGACGAAGUCAGGGGAAACCCUGAUGGAGGUCCGUAGCGAUUCUGACGUGCAAAUCGAUCGUCGGAACUGGGUAUAGGGGCGAAAGACUAAUCGAACCAUCUAGUAGCUGGUUCCCUCCGAAGUUUCCCUCAGGAUAGCUGGCGCUCGCUUCUCGCGAGUCUCAUUCGGUAAAGCGAAUGAUUAGAGGCAUUGGGGUCGAAACGGCCUCAACCUAUUCUCAAACUUUAAAUGGGUGAGAUCUCCGGCUUGCUUGAACUGUGAAGCCGCGAGAUAUCGGAUCAGAGUGCCAAGUGGGCCACUUUUGGUAAGCAGAACUGGCGCUGUGGGAUGAACCAAACGCUGAGUUAAAGCGCCUAAAUCGACGCUUAUGGGA